rnacentral:rRNA from 1 species
CAGCAGCCGCGGUAAUACGAAGGGGGCUAGCGUUGCUCGGAAUGACUGGGCGUAAAGGGCGCGUAGGCGGAUGGCACAGUCAGAUGUGAAAUUCCCGGGCUUAACCUGGGGGCUGCAUUUGAUACGUGUUGUCUAGAGUGAGGAAGAGGGUCGUGGAAUUCCCAGUGUAGAGGUGAAAUUCGUAGAUAUUGGGAAGAACACCGGUGGCGAAGGCGGCGACCUGGUCCUUGACUGACGCUGAGGCGCGAAAGCGUGGGGAGCAAACAGGAUUAGAUACCCCUGUAGUCCCUGUCUCUUAUAC